CUAGCAGCAUAUCAUGGUUACCCAAGCUAAGUAGAAUUGGUUAGAGAACCUAUCUAGUUACAACUACAAUGCAAUACGGUCCUUCUCUAAUACAAUACUCUUAAUCACAUUGUUUAAGUGAUAGUUUGUUUCAUGUCUACUAUCCAAUGUGAUACUUUCCUAUAUGAUUCCUUUGAAUAUGAUUUGGAACAAACUUCCUAAGUCAUAUUCAUAUGCUUUGGCCAAAGACUUUGGAAUCAUAUCUUAGAGUAUUCUCCUUCCACCAUGGAAGGUUAGAGAUCCCUUGUUGUGCAUUCAUAUGCCUACAUGACUAGAUAGCUUGACCCCAACAAUGCCGUGGACAAUCCGAAGGAAUGCCGUUGACAUGAUCAAAGAUCAAGGACCUAACCAUUAGACAUCCAUGAUGCCUCAGGUCAAAGGACUACUUUGCAUAUUGCAACUUUAGAGUUCAUACAUGACAUGUAUGUUCGAACUCUCUUUUGAUCGACGUUCAGUGUACUCGAUUACCUUUUCGAGCACUUAUGUGUUUGUCUCAGUGUCCAACACCAAAUGACUUGAGACUAGUUCAUACUCACGUUUGAGUCAACAUAACACAUACUAACCUUAGCGGAUUGUCAAUGCCUAAUUGGCAAUCCUAUGGCUAGGAACGUUUUAGGAAUGAACAUAAGAGAAAGGUCUCGAUAAUCU
rnacentral:lncRNA from 1 species